AAGCCGAUGAUGAUUUUUCUUUUUAGUUGGAAUUACCGGCUGAAUUUCAUUUUGAUGUCAAAUUGAGACUGGCUGUCUGAGGCUUCAU